AUGAUACUCCCUAUUUCCAACAAAAGAUGUAUCAAAUUUGUCAAAUUUGAAUGUAUCUUGACAUGACUUAAUGUAUAGAUGCAUUCAAAUUUAAUCAAAACUGAGACAUUCUUUGUUGGACGGAGGAAGUACCAU
rnacentral:pre_miRNA from 1 species